rnacentral:rRNA from 1 species
UACAGAGGUCCCAAGCGUUGUUCGGAUUCACUGGGCGUAAAGGGUGCGUAGGCGGUCGGGUAAGUCUGGCGUGAGAUCUCCAAGCCUAACUUGGAAACUGCGUUGGAUACUAUCCGGCUCGAGGAAUGGAGGGGAGACUGGAAUACUUGGUGUAGCAGUGAAAUGCGUAGAUAUCAAGUGGAACACCAGUGGCGAAGGCGAGUCUCUGGACAUUUCCUGACGCUGAGGCACGAAAGCCAGGGGAGCAAACGGG